UACAGAGGGUGCGAGCGUUGUUCGGAAUUACUGAGCGUAAAGCGCGCGCAGGCGGCCUUUUAACGUCUGGCGGUGAAAUGCCGGGGCUCAACCCCGUUGCAGGCCGCGGAUACUGGGAGGCUGGAGACGAGUAGAGGCAGGCGGAAUUCCGGGUGUAGCGGUGGAAUGCGUAGAGAUCCGGAAGAACACCGGAGGCGAAGGCG
rnacentral:rRNA from 1 species